ensembl:lncRNA
UAAAGAACUAUUUAAUGUGUUUAGGGAAGUAAAUACUAAUAGGAACUGUGUAAUUAUGGGGGACUUUAACUUCCCGGAUAUAGAUUGGGGAAAAAACGCUAGUAGCAAUAAUAGGGCUCAGAUGUUCCUAGAUGUUCUUGCUGAUCAAUUCCUUCAUCAAGUGGUAGCUGAACCGACGAGGGGGGAGGCCAUUUUGGAUUUGGUUUUGGUGAGUAGUGAGGACCUCGUUGAGGAAGUGAUUGUAGGGGACAACUUGGGCUCCAGUGAUCAUGAGCUAAUUCGGUUUAAACUAAAUGGAAGGAGUAACAGAAUUAAAUCAAAGAUUAGGGUUUAUAAUUUUAAAAAGGCUAAUUUUAACAAAUUAAGAGGACUGGUAAGGGAAGUAGAUUGGGCAAACGUAUUAAUGGAUCUAAAGGCAGAAGAUGCCUGGGAUUAUUUUAAGUUAAAGCUGCAUGAGCUGUCGGAGGCCUGUAUCCCAAAAAAGGGAAAAUGGUUAGUAAGCAAGAGAUUUAGACCGAGCUGGAUGAGCGACCGUCUCAAAGGGGCGAUUAGGAAAAAACAGAAAGCGUACAAAGAGUGGAAGAAGGGAGGGAUCAGUAAGGAAACUUACCUUAGUGAGGUCAGAGCAUGUAGAGAUAGAGUGAGAAAGGCCAAAAGCCAUGUAGAGUUGGACCUUGCGAGGGGAAUUAAAAGCAAUAGUAAGAGGUUUUACAGCCAUAUAAAUAGGAAGAAAGCAAAGAAAGAAGAAGUGGGACCGCUGAAGACUAUAGCUGGAGAGGAGAUUAAGGAUAAUCUAGGCAUGGCACAAUAUCUUAACGAUUAUUUUGCAUCGGUGUUUAAUGAGGCCAAUGAAGGGAUUAGGAAUAUUAGCAGCGUGACAGAGGGGUAUACAGGAGGGGGGAUUACCGUAUCCGAGGUAGAAACCAAACUUGAACACCUUAAUGGGACUAAAUCGGGCGGACCGGAUGAUCUUCAUCCGAGAAUAUUGAAGGAAUUGGCACGGGAAAUAGCAGGCCCCUUAGCGAUAAUUUUUAAUGAAUCUGUAAACUCAGGGGUGGUUCCGUUAGACUGGAGAAUAGCUAAUGUGGUUCCUAUUUUCAAGAAAGGGAAAAAAAGUGACCCGGGUAACUACAGGCCUGUUAGUUUAACAUCUGUAGUGUGCAAGGUCCUGGAGAAAAUUCUGAAGGAGAAAGUAGUUGAAGACCUUGAGGUUAAUGGCAAUUGCAACAAAUUACAACAUGGUUUUACGAAGGGCAGAUCGUGCCAAACCAAUCUGAUCUCCUUCUUCGAGAAAGUACCGGACUUAUUAGAUAAAGGAAAUGCGGUGGACCUAAUAUACCUNNNNNNNNNNNNNNNNNNNNNNNNNNNNNN